AGCAGCCGCGGUAAUUCCAGCUCCAAUAGCGUAUAUUAAAGUUGUUGCAGUUAAAAAGCUCGUAGUUGAAUUUCGGGAUCAGUAUGUUGGUCGUGCUUCGGUACGUACUGUCAUUACUGGUUUCUACCUUCUGAAGAACCUUGAUGUCAUUAAUUUGGUGUCUUGGGGAAUCAGGACUGUUACUUUGAAAAAUUAGAGUGUUUAAAGCAGGCUCACGCUUGAAUACAUUAGCAUGGAAUAAUGAAAUAGGACGUUUGAUUCUAUUUUGUUGGUUUCUAGGAUCGACGUAAUGAUUAAUAGGGAUAGUUGGGGGCAUUAGUAUUCAAUUGUCAGAGGUGAAAUUCUUGGAUUUAUUGAAGACUAACUACUGCGAAAGCAUUUGCCAAGGAUGUUUUCAUUAAUCAAGAACGAAAGUUAGGGGAUCGAAGACGAUCAGAUACCGUCGUAGUCUUAACCA
rnacentral:rRNA from 1 species